rnacentral:rRNA from 1 species
UACGUAGGGUGCGAGCGUUGUCCGGAAUUAUUGGGCGUAAAGGGCUCGUAGGCGGUCUGUCGCGUCGGGAGUGAAAACUCAGGGCUUAACCCUGAGCCUGCUUCCGAUACGGGCAGACUAGAGGUAUGCAGGGGAGAACGGAAUUCCUGGUGUGGCGGUGAAAUGCGCAGAUAUCAGGAGGAACACCAGUGGCGAAGGCGGUUCUCUGGGCAUUACCUGACGCUGAGGAGCGAAAGUGUGGGGAGCGAACAGG